AAUGGCCUACCAAGGCGACGAUCCAUAGCUGGUCUGAGAGGAAGGGGCGGCAGACGGGUGAGUAACGCGUGGGAACGUACCUUUUGGUUCGGAACAACACAGGGAAACUUGUGCUAAUACCGGAUAAGCCCUUACGGGGAAAGAUUUAUCGCCGAAAGAUCGGCCCGCGUCUGAUUAGCUAGUUGGUAGGGUAAUGGCCUACCAAGGCGACGAUCAGUAGCUGGUCUGAGAGGAUGAUCAGCCACAUUGGGACUGAGACACGGCCCAAACUCCUACGGGAGGCAGCAGUGGGGAAUAUUGGACAAUGGGGGCAACCCUGAUCCAGCCAUGCCGCGUGAGUGAUGAAGGCCCUAGGGUUGUAAAGCUCUUUUGUGCGGGAAGAUAAUGACGGUACCGCAAGAAUAAGCCCCGGCUAACUUCGUGCCAGCAGCCGCGGUAAUACGGAGGAUGCAAGCGUUAUCCGGAAUGAUUGGGCGUAAAGCGUCCGCAGGUGGCAUAUCAAGUCUGCGGUUAAAGGUUCUGGCUCAACCAGAGACAGGCCGUGGAAACUGAUAAGCUAGAGUAUGGUAGGGGCAGAGGGAAUUCCCAGUGUAGCGGUGAAAUGCGUAGAGAUUGGGAAGAACACCGGUGGCGAAAGCGCUCUGCUAGGCCAAAACUGACACUGAGGGACGAAAGCUAGGGGAGCGAAUGGGAUUAGAUACCCCAGUAGUCCUAGCCGUAAACGAUGGAUACUAGGUGUAGCUUGUAUCGACCCAAGCUGUGCCGUAGCUAACGCGUUAAGUAUCCCGCCUGGGGAGUACGCGCGCAAGCGUGAAACUCAAAGGAAUUGACGGGGGCCCGCACAAGCGGUGGAGUAUGUGGUUUAAUUCGAUGCAACGCGAAGAACCUUACCUGGUCUUGACAUGUCAAGAAGUCUGCAGAGAUGCGGAUGUGCCUUCGGGAACUUGAACACAGGUGCUGCAUGGCUGUCGUCAGCUCGUGUCGUGAGAUGUUGGGUUAAGUCCCGCAACGAGCGCAACCCUUGUCAUUAGUUGCUACGUAAGGGCACUCUAAUGAGACUGCCGGUGACAAACCGGAG
rnacentral:rRNA from 1 species